rnacentral:misc_RNA from 1 species
UUUCCGUAGGUGAACCUGCGGAAGGAUCAUUAAUGAGUUGUCAUGGGGUUCGAUGCUGGCAGCCAGUUUUUGGAUGCAUGUGCUUGCCCUAACAAUCAUCUUCUUCCAAACACCUGUGCACAUUUUUGAGGGAGUCUUGAGUUGGUUGCCGCUCUUGGGUGAUUUUCUCACAUUCCCUUAAAUCAUUAUACGCUAUUAACGAUGUUGAACGUGCUCUGUGCCGCAAGGCCAUUAAUAUAAUACAACUUUUAACAACGGAUCUCUUGGCUCUC